UCCCUGGUGGCUCAGAUGGAAAAGCGUCUCCCUGCAAUGAAGGAGACCCAGGUUCGAUCCCUGGGUUGGGAA
rnacentral:tRNA from 1 species